UUAGGAUCCUUAUCUCCCGAAGACUGUAGGUUCUGUCCGGGUCAGGUUACUCGUAAAAGCCCGAGGAAGUGCCAGUUAUGUAAAAUUUUGUGAAUGAGAAAGUUUUGGAAACGCGAGAAGAGCGUUUGGGGAGGGGAAAGUAAGGAAGGGAACUCAAAACUGGGAUUGAGUAGAGAAUGUUUAAGGUCUUGGGUCGUUCAUCGUGAAGUGAAUUAGGCAUCUAAACGCGUGUGCUUUUCUCCUAUGUUGUGGUUACUAAAGUAAGGACUAUACCGGCAGCUGCAUACACAUUUUAUGAAGUUGCAGAUUAGUAAAGAAAAACUAUUACUGUUUUUCAAAACAGACCAAAGUAGAUUGACUCUACCCUCUCUUUUAUGGUGUGGCCUUGGUUACCCAGGAUCAGCUGAGGUCUGGAAGCAGAUGAUCCUCCUGCUGUAGCUUCCUCAUGAGGUCAUUAGUACCUAGUGAUUUGCCACAAUGUCUACUGCAUUCACCUCAUCUAUCUUAUCAUGCAGGCAUUUUAUCAGCUCACAUCAUCACAAGAAGGAUGAGAUGGUUCCUGGCAGGUGCCUGCAAGUGCAGCUACCAUCUUGCAUCACAGACAGGAAAACUCCUGCCCUGCCGAGGAUGCUGGCACAGGAGAUGGAAGGAGUCAGUUUGCCUGAUAACACGAAUACCUGCAGAAGAGGACUUGCUAAACUAGCUAUGAAGAGGAUAACAUUUUCUGAGUAUCAUUACACAAAGAAGAAUUAUAGUUUUUCUAUAUGUCAGUAAAAUUACCAACAGAUUCUGCUGAAUAUGACCUCUAUUCCGAACAGGAUAGAGCUUUUAAAUGAGAAAAUUCUGUACAAAAGCAUGUUAAAGUAUACAUGUUAUGUACACUU